AGCGAACGCUGGCGGCGUGCCUAACACAUGCAAGUCGAACGUGAAAGGGAGCAAUCCCACGUAAAGUGGCGUACGGGUGAGUAACACGUAGGUAAUCUACCCCAGAAUCUGGAAUAACCGGCCGAAAGGCUGGCUAAUACUGGAUAGAGCGACGGAAUCCGUAAUUGGGUUUUUCGGGAAAGGGAGCCUGUAAAAAGGCCUUCGUUCUGGGAUGAGCCUGCGUCCCAUCAGCUAGUUGGUGAGGUAAAAGCUUACCAAGGCAAUGACGGGUUGCUGGUCUGAGAGGACGAUCAGCCACACUGGAACUGAAACACGGUCCAGGCUCCUACGGGAGGCAGCAGUGGGGAAUCUUGCGCAAUGGACGAAAGUCUGACGCAGCAACGCCGCGUGAGUGAAGAAGGCCUUCGGGUUGUAAAGCUCUGUCGAGUGGGACGAAAAUGCUUGGAGUUCACAGCUCCAGGAACUGACGGUACCACUAAAGGAAGCACCGGCUAACUCCGUG
rnacentral:rRNA from 1 species